rnacentral:rRNA from 1 species
UACGUAGGCGGCAUAGUUAGUCGAAUGUUAAAGCACCGGGCUCAACCCGGGACAGGCAUUCGAAACGGCUAAGCUAGAGGAUGUGAGAGGUAAGUGGAACUCAUGGUGUAGGGGUGAAAUCCGUUGAUAUCAUGGGGAACACCAAAAGCGAAGGCAACUUACUGGCACAUUCCUGACGCUGAGGUACGAAAGCGUGGGUAGCGAAUG